UACGUAGGGGGCAAGCGUUGUCCGGAAUCACUGGGCGUAAAGCGCACGUAGGCGGAUCGUUAAGUCGGGGGUGAAAUCCCAGGGCUCAACCCUGGAACUGCCUUCGAUACUGGCGAUCUUCGAGUCCGGGAGAGGUGAGUGGAACUCCGAGUGUAGAGGUGAAAUUCGUAGAUAUUCGGAAGAACACCAGUGGCGAAGGCGGCUCACUGGCCCGGUACUGACGCUGAGGUGCGAAAGCGUGGGGAGCAAACAGG
rnacentral:rRNA from 1 species